GUUUCUGCGGUUUUCCCGGAAAGGGGUCCAAGUCGGGGACAUAGUCACUCAAGAUGGAGGACACAGAACACGAUGGAGUUGGCCGGGGGAGAUAAUAUCAAAUCUGCACAUGAUGACUGCAACUUGUUCCAACUACCUGUAGCUUUCUUCGAAUAGAACCUUCCUCUGGAAACCAGCACCUGAUGGGAGAACAGUGGAGUCUGACCCUAACAGUCAAUUCUCCGAGAUGUAAGGACGUAUUUCUAGUUUGUGGCUUGGCCUCCAAUGAUCCGGCCAGUUAGAGGCAACCCUCCUGGGAAGUAUCUUUCCAAUGAGGAUUGCUAUAAACAUUCCUAGAGCCCUCUGCGUGCCAGAAUAUUUAGGCAAAUCUGAAAAAAUAAAGAUCAAUAAAUAAAAAAAUCAAAACAAGCUCGUUGUUUGGUGACAUACACAAAUAUGUUUUUUUCACAUCUUUUGUAUAGUUUCACCUCUUCUUAAUAGCCCUGGAAUUCUAAUAAUCAAUUAUUUUAACAUUAGAUGAGAUAUAAAUGGUGAUUUUUAAUUCUGGCUUGAUAUAAACAGAUCUGAAAUCAUACUCUAGAAUAUUCCUAAACAAAUCUCUGCAGUCAGCAUAGUGGUUAAAAAUGCUGACCGUGGUGUUAGUUCUUCCCCCACCCCAUUUCUACUAUUUAAUCGCUGUAAUUUUGUGCAAGGUAUUUAAACCUCUGUGUUUUGUUUUCCUCUACUACUUAUUUCACACAUUAAUACAGGUAAUUAGGUUAGAAAAUGGCAGGUACAUGGUAAGUGCCCAAUAAAUAUUGGCUCAUAUCAUUUUAAUAGCAGUUUAAUUUCAUGUCAUUAUUUUUCCUCAUAUAUAUGACUUCAUUGUAGCUAUCCAAUAAAGCUAUAUUUAUAGGUAUCUGUCAGAUAAAACACUUAAAAUAAUCUAUUCUUGAACCUUAUUUCAUAUGAAGACAUAAAAUUAAAUUUCAGUAUAUUUGUGUGUUAUUCCAUGUGAAACGGGUAUUUGGGGUCAUUUGAAAAUUAAAAAAAAAAAAAACAUAAGCCCACAGGGACUAUACAAAGUUACCUUUCCCUUAGACAACCUAGCUAUGUGAUGUCCGCUUUUGGAAUAGUUGAAAGUGAGUACAGCAAGGUGCCAUCUAUUCAGAGAGAUACAUACUAGAUAUGGGAGCCAUAAAUCAAAAUCUUACAUGCAGAUGCUUUGGUUGUUUUUGAAAUCUGUUUCUCAAAGGGGCAACUCUCAAUAUAGAACAUUCCAGGUGGAGCUGCAGUGGGUGGCCAUUGAUUAGACAUUAGUUAAGUAGUGAUUUUCUCAAAAGACACUACUUACAGAUGCUAUCUGUAAAGAAUCUUUAGUAGUGCAUGGAUUUUCUUUAGCACUAUCAUCAGGAAAGGUAAGAAGAGAUCCUUAAAUUCUAAGAAAUAGAAUAAUAAAAGUAAGAGCAAUAUGAACAUUUUCAGGUAGGAAAUAUGACUACCAAAUAGGAAAAAAAAAUGUAUGCCAAAAGAAGAAAGACCAAUCACAAUGGGAGUGGAUAUCACAGUCACAGGGGAUUUUUCGGUUUCAUGACUGCCUUUCUUAGGUUUUCUCCUCAUGAAAACUGGCUCAAUGUUGUAGAAAAAUAAAACUGCUGAAAAUAAGAACCUUAGAAAACUUCCUUUGUGCUUUUUUUAGGUAUUCAAAGAGAGGCUGAAGAAUUUUGGACAGCAAAAUUUCAUUAACAUUUUUCUUAUGCAUUUAUAAAUACUGAUAUUUUCUCAGAGUGUCAUUUUUUAA